rnacentral:rRNA from 1 species
AAGCUCGUAGUUGGAUUUCUGUUGAGGACGGCCGGUCCGCACUAUGUGCGUGUAUCUGGUUCGGCCUCGGCAUCCUCUCGAAAGCCGUUUCUGCGCUUGAUUGCGUGGUUCGGACUUCGGGACUUUUACUUUGAGGAAAUUAGAGUGUUCACGGCAGGCAAGCGCCUUGAAUAUAUUAGCAUGGAAUAAUAAUAUAGGAUCUUGGUCCUAUUUUGUUGGUUUCUAGGGCUAAGAUAAUGAUUAAUAGGGACAAUUGGGGGCAUUCGUAUUAACGCGUCAGAGGUGGAAUUCUUGGAUUGCGUUACGACGAACUACUGCGAAAACAUUUGCCAAGGAUGUUUUCAUUGAUCAAGAACGAAAGUAAGGGGAUCAAAGAUGAUUAGAUACCGUCGUAGUCUUUACCAUAAACUAUGCCAACUAGAGAUGGGGCUGCGGUUUAUUUAUGACCCGCUCCGCACCUUAUGAGAAAUCAAAGUUUUUGGGUUCCGGGGGGAGUAUGGUCGCAAGGCUGAAACUUAAAGGAAUUGACGGAAGGGCACCACCAGGAGUGGAGCCUGCGGCUUAAUUUGACUCAACACGGGAAAACUUACCAGGUCCAGACAUAGUUAGGAUUGACAG